CCUACGGGAGGCAGCAGUGAGGAAUAUUGGUCAAUGGCCGUAAGGCUGAACCAGCCAAGUCGCGUGAAGGAAGAAGGAUCUAUGGUUUGUAAACUUCUUUUAUAGGGGAAUAAAGGUAUCCACGUGUGGAUAUUUGCAUGUACCCUAUGAAUAAGCAUCGGCUAACUCCGUGCCAGCAGCCGCGGUAAUACGGAGGAUGCGAGCGUUAUCCGGAUUUAUUGGGUUUAAAGGGUGCGUAGGUUGUUUUUUAAGUCAGCGGUGAAAGUUUGUGGCUCAACCAUAAAAUUGCCGUUGAAACUGGAAGACUUGAGUGUGUUUGAGGUAGGCGGAAUGCGUGGUGUAGCGGUGAAAUGCAUAGAUAUCACGCAGAACCCCGAUUGCGAAGGCAGCUUACUAAACUGUGACUGACAUUGAUGCUCGAAAGUGUGGGUAUCAAACAGGAUUAGAUACCCCUGUAGUC
rnacentral:rRNA from 1 species